rnacentral:rRNA from 1 species
UACGUAGGGACCAAGCGUUGUUCGGAUUUACUGGGCGUAAAGGGCGCGUAGGCGGCGCGUCAAGUCACUUGUGAAAUCUCUGGGCUUAACUCAGAACGGCCAAGUGAAACUGUUGUGCUAGAGUGCAGAAGGGGCAAUCGGAAUUCUCGGUGUAGCGGUGAAAUGCGUAGAUAUCGAGAGGAACACCAGAGGUGAAGACGGGUUGCUGGGCUGACACUGACGCUGAGGCGCGAAAGCCAGGGGAGCAAACGGG